rnacentral:tRNA from 2 species
AGUUAUUUAGCUUAUAAAUAUUAAAGCAAAUAUUUUGAAAAUAUUAGAAAGAGUUUUAUUUAAUAACUU